UUAAAGUAAAAACGAGGCAAUUUCAGACGAAUAAAAACAGAAUUUCUCUCACACAAACAAACGGUCAUUGAGGAUGACUAAUUAAAGGUAUAAAUCAUGUAGAAGAAAACUAGACCCAGGAUAAAAAGGGGAUACAAAGAGAACAGUGAGUCAUUGACAAAAAUGGCUAAUUUUAAAGGAACAUUAAUAUUAGAUAAAUAUUAGAUAAAUUAGAUAAAUUAGAUAAAUAUUCAAUAUAAUUAUAAUUGUAGUCAUAUAUAACAGGUAAUAUUUAAACAGUUUAUUAUUAAGUGAUAAUUUAUUGUCAAUCAUAUAUCAUUCUUCAUGACACCAUAUAAGAUAGAAGGAGUAUCCAUGUUAAAAUGUUCUAUAAUCCUUUUAUUAUUCCAAGAAAAGUAUGACUAAUGACUUUGUUCAAUCAUUAUAUCUCUCCAAAUUUUUAAAACUUUACUAAAAGUAGAAAGUACAAUGUAUUCUAAUCAAAUAAAAAGUAGAACAAAAAACUAAAAAAAAAAGUUUAGAGAACACAAUUUAAUUCGUGUUAGAAAGGGGAGAAAACACAGUAAAUGCUUUCUAGGUGCAAAAUAAACUGUUAGAAAGUAUUCGUCAGCAUGUAUAUUCAUAAAACUAUGAAAUUCAGUAACUGAAAGGACUCAGGGCCUGAAAGUCAGGGUAGAAACGAACAUAAUAGGCAUCAACUAACUGAAAAGAAUAAAAAAUACUGCUGAAGGUAUCUGAAUAUCAGGCAAAAUGCACAUUUAGGUUUUAAUCAUCAAAGUUGGGAGAGAACGUACAAAAUGUUAAAAGGGAUAAGCCUCAUUCAUUAGCUGACAGGAGCUAAUAAAAUACGCAAAAAUUACAAAGAGAAAUUGAUAAAUCCACAAGCAUCCCUCUCAGAUUUUAUAUUUGAAACAGUAAAGCAUUUGUAGGAUACUGAAAAUCUUAAAAUAAAAAAUCAACUGGAUUGACCUUGAUCUCAUAAGACCCUGCUCUGCUCAGCUCCCGUUUCCUUUGAGAGUAAUUUUCAACACCAUUGAUUUCCAAACCUUGUAUGUCUCAGGAGAAAAUGCCAAAGAUGAGCAGUAAGGUACCACGAAAUGGAUGGAUACACAAAUUAUCCUGCAGGCAACGGACCACCUGUAAUGCCUGAAGAGGAAAGUAACACAACACCUCACUUCUGUUGCUACUUUCCUUGUGAACUCUUAAAUCUGGAUAUGGCAGCUUCCAGUUUGGAAAGUGGCCCAGUUUGGGUAAGACACAAGAGAUGAUCAAGGCAUGCAAAACUUAUGACGAACUGCAAACUAUGUUAAACCUAGGAAAGGAAGAUCUGAAGUGGCAAGUAUCAGAAUAAGAGGGUGGACACGGGACCAAAUAUAGACUAUAAGUACCUUAUGUCUUUCUCCAUCUUGUAGCCACCAUCACUGGCUCAAUGAAGUUGGUAUCAUGUGCCUUCUGAGAAAAUAAUGGACAUUCUGGAGAGAAUAAGAUAAUUCUGUAUAUUCUAAAGUCUUCUGCCAAAGACCUUCAACAAACUCUAACAUUUCAAGCUUCCGGAUUAGAGGUGGACAGUGGUGAGACGCCAGCUUUGACAGGGUCAAAGAACAAAUCUCGGGGGCCACAGAAAGUGAGCAAAGCUACAGAGUUUAUUGAGAGAAAAGUAUAAAAUUCUCAAGAGUGAGCGGGGUCCGACUGGGUUGCCGCAAGGAUUUUUGUCCCCGACUUUUUAUUGAGACCUUAUCAGAAAGUUUGUGAGGCUCCAUGCAUGGCACCUAGCUCAGCUGCAAGAAGAUGAAGCAUGGUGUUUGGUCAGAUAUAAACACGAAAGAGACAUAAACAUCGUUUUAUUGACAUCUGGUGGUCUGAUUCCCUUAGGAGCAUUGAAAGAAUCCACAAAAUAGUAGGUUAGCUCUACCUCUGCCUUCUGGAAGGACUUUGGGUACUUACAAGAAUUUAUGCUAGCUGGAUCAUGGUGAGGGGCUGAUUGGAGGAAACACACAGAGGUAACUAUGGAGCAGGAAAUCUCAAAGAGCUUCAGAAUAAGAACAGAACUCAUUUCUAAUCCUCACUUGACUGUCAUUCAAGGAGGUACCAGAUGAUGUUCUAUCUCUCUUCUACCAUGAUGGGGACCAUCAGAAAUUAGGCUGCAAAGUGAUCUCCAUGGAGCACUCAGAUUAUUCUAACACUGGAUACUGGAAUGUGAAGUUGGUGCCAUAAAAGAUACCCAUUGAUAAGGUUGCAAUGAACUUUUUAUGAAGAACCAUGGGACUCUAAAGCCUAGUAAGCAGGCAACAAACAUUUAUUGAUCAACUAACAGAAACCAUACUAACCUGUAAAGAUGUGACCUCCCCUUUAAAGGAGCUUACAUAUUAAUAUGGAUUAUGAACCAGCUGGUCAUCUCCUGGGUCGUAAUCAGAAGACAGUAGAGCCAAGCAAUAAUAGCGACUAAUAUUAACUGAGUAUUAUUUGCCAAGGGUCCUGCUAAACACAUGCAUUUUUUUUAUUUCUAUUAAGCACCCCCAUCACAGAUAAGUAAACUGGGGACUUGAGAAGUGACUUGUCCAAAUAGUUAAUACACACCAGAACUGGGACUCAAACAUGUUUUUUUAUUACUCCAGAAUGAGCAUUGCUAACCAUUUUGUGUCAUCACAGCCCAAAAGUAGCAAAGAGUUUGUGAAAAAUAUCCUUCUGUGAUAAAUGUAAAUAACAUAUAAACUACAAUAAUGAC